UAUGAAGAACGCAGCGAAAUGCGAUACUUGGUGUGAAUUGCAGAAUCCCGUGAACCAUCGAGUCUUUGAACGCAAGUUGCGCCCGAAGCCAUCAGGUUGAGGGCACGUCUGCCUGGGCGUCACAUAUCGUUGCCCAAUGCCUAUUGCAGUGCAAUAGGAAUUUCUAGGGCGAAUGAUGGCUUCCCGUGAGCGUUGUUGCCUCGCGGUUGGUUGAAAAUCGAGUCCUUGGUAGGGUGUGCCAUGGUAGAUGGUGGUCGAGUUAGAACGAUACCGAUCAUGUGCAUGCUCCCCAAAAUAUGGCCUCUAUGACCCACACGCGUCUUUUGACGCUCAUGACGAGACCUCAGGUCAGGCGGGGCUACCCGCUGAAUUUAAGCAUAUCAAUAAGCGGAGGA
rnacentral:misc_RNA from 1 species